rnacentral:lncRNA from 1 species
GUGUUGGAUCACUACACUAUUCACCUGAAACUAAUAGUACACCGUAUGUUAACGAUAUGGGAUUCAAAAAUUUAAAACUAUACAGAAAUUAAAUUUCUAAAAAAUUAAAACUUUGAAAGCAAAAAAAAAAAAAAAAAACCCACAAAAGAACAAGGGUUUGGAGAUAUUUGUGAGUUUGAAUUCUGUUUCUUUCCCUCAUGGACGCUGUGGCCUAAGCCUCUGAACAUCGGUUUUCUCAUCUGCAAAAUGAACAGAAUAAAAUCUCGGGGCUGUUGUAAGGACGAGGUGCGUUGGGGAGAUAACACAUGUAAACGUGUGGAAAAAAAAACAUGUAAUCGUGGCCUGGAACAUGGGAAGCCCCAGAAUUGUUAACCAUUCUUCUGAGCCGUAUAUCCCCUGCUAAUCCUACUUCCACCUUUGGGUUUAUUCUGACAGACGUACUCACACUCACACACAGAGACACACAUAUCCCUUCUAGAACCCUUCCCUCCCUCUUCCAUUACCUGGACUGUAUCCAUCCUUCUGGGCCCAACUCAUUCUCCCCUCCUGCGGGAACCUUGGCCUGAAGACGGGUAUGCAGCAAUCCCCUGUCUUGGGCUCCUCCCGCUUGCCUGGCCUCGGUUGUCCUCUCAUGUUUCCAUCCACCCGGUGCCCCAGUGAGACUGCAAACUCUUGGGAGUGGGGCCUCAUCCUACCAUCUGCGUGGUUCCUCCCCCACCUCUCUACAGGGAUGGGGAGCUGACCGGGUCACGUGCUCGCCGUAGGAUGAACCUAGCAUAUACUCCUCCUGCCCCCUAGCAAGCCCCACUAAUUUUCAUUUUACUGUAACUUUUGCAACCUGACCUUGAUGACAUAUCAUAGGAGGGAAAAAACCCUCACAGACCUGCUCCUUUUUACAUCCCAAAUACUGGAAGGAACAUCAGCCAGUUGACUCACGGGGUCAUCAUCAACAUACUUGGUGAACACCGUCUCCCUGCAGAGCACUAGGUGCGGCCCCGGGAGGAGGGGCGCUAGAAGGAGCCCUGAACGCAAGAAUCCAGGGGAUCGGAAAUAAGCCCAGCAGACUUGAUUCAGCCAGCACAUUCCCAACCCUCUGCUCCCAGCAUCCCUACCCUCUCCUGUCACACGGGGGAAAAAGGAAAGCAGGCAUGGACAGAACGUGGCCAGGAGAAGGUGUUCUAGAAACUCCACCUUAGGAGGUGCUGAGGAUGCAGCGUGUGAACCCCUCAUCCUGUCAGCUCCUGGCCCUUGAAGCCCUGCCCUGAUGUCGGGGACCCGUUCUCCCCAUCCUGCAGCACAGGGACCAUCUGGCUGAAGACCCGGGGGUCUCUCCUGCGUGCCUCCCGUUCUCCACACGUCAGGCCCAGGCCUUGGUUCAGCAGCCUUGACCUCUGCUGUCUUCUCUGUGUACUAUCUUGCUCUGCUUAGAAAAUGCUUACCAGGUGAUAGCAAAGAGGAGUCACCAAUGGAAGAUUUUCAUCAUUUCGGGGUUCCGCUGGACCUCCCAUCCGCCGGCCCUGACCCGAGGGAAGUGGGGAGAUUCUGCUCCUCCCUGCCAGGGGUCUCCCUAAGCUGCUGCCACGGUUCUGCUGAUGUGGGCUUAGGUUUGCCCACACUCAGAGAAGUUCCUGAUUCUUCUGACCCACCCAACUGGGACCCCAAGGUUGCAAAGGGGCGUUCCUGAAUGAGGUUUUGGUCAAAGCACAAAGGUUUUCAGGUUCUUGUUCUCAGUCCUGUUCUCCAACUCAAAGGGACCAUGUCCUCUCUUCCCUCCUCUCUCCUCCUGGUCACUAACCUACAUCUUCUGGAAUGAUUGACUCCAGCCCUCUCCAGCAACUUUGGACUGGGGGACUCUUCCCCCUCUUCCUAAAAUAUUCAUGCAUGCACGCACCUACUACCCCCGUGCACACAUGUGUACGCACACGCCUGCCACACACACAUGCACAUGCAUGCAAGUGUCACACACCAAGUCCCCAUCCCCACCUGUGACACCUUCCUCCUUCCUAACUUUAUCCUCGGUGCAGACAACCCUGCCCAGUAUAAACUGGAAGGCUAAACAAAAAAAAAAAA